GAUACCAGCUGGCUGCAACUGUUUAAUAAAAACACAGCACUGUGCAAACACGAAAGUGGACGUAUACGGUGUGACGCCUGCCCGGUGCUGGAAGGUUAAUUGAUGGGGUCAGCCGCAAGGCGAAGCUCUUGAUCGAAGCCCCAGUAAACGGCGGCCGUAACUAUAACGGUCCUAAGGUAGCGAAAUUCCUUGUCGGGUAAGUUCCGACCUGCACGAAUGGCGUAAUGAUGGCCAGGCUGUCUCCACCCGAGACUCAGUGAAAUUGAACUCGCUGUGAAGAUGCAGUGUACCCGCGGCAAGACGGAAAGACCCCGUGAACCUUUACUAUAGCUUGACACUGAACAUUGAGCCUUGAUGUGUAGGAUAGGUGGGAGGCCUUGAAGUGUGGACGCCAGUCUGCAUGGAGCCAACCUUGAAAUACCACCCUUUAAUGUUUGAUGUUCUAACUCGGCCCCAUGAUCUGGGGUGAGGACAGUGUCUGGUGGGUAGUUUGACUGGGGCGGUCUCCUCCCAAAGAGUAACGGAGGAGCACGAAGGUUAGCUAAUCACGGUCGGACAUCGUGAGGUUAGUGCAAAGGCAUAAGCUAGCUUGACUGCGAGAGUGACGGCUCGAGCAGGUACGAAAGUAGGUCUUAGUGAUCCGGUGGUUCUGAAUGGAAGGGCCAUCGCUCAACGGAUAAAAGGUACUCCGGGGAUAACAGGCUGAUACCGCCCAAGAGUUCAUAUCGACGGCGGUGUUUGGCACCUCGAUGUCGGCUCAUCACAUCCUGGGGCUGAAGUAGGUCCCAAGGGUAUGGCUGUUCGCCAUUUAAAGUGGUACGCGAGCUGGGUUUAGAACGUCGUGAGACAGUUCGGUCCCUAUCUGCCGUGGGCGUUGGAAGAUUGAGAGGGGCUGCUCCUAGUACGAGAGGACCGGAGUGGACGAAUCACUGGUGUUCGGGUUGUCAUGCCAAUGGCAUUGCCCGGUAGCUAAAUUCGGAAGAGAUAACCGCUGAAAGCAUCUAAGCGGGAAACUUGCCUCGAGAUGAGUCUUCCCUGGGACUUAAAGUCCCCUGAAGGAACGUUAAAGACUAUGACGUUGAUAGGCUGGGUGUGUAAGUGCAGCGAUGUAUUGAGCUAACCAGUACUAAUGAUCCGUGAGGCUUAACCUUACAACACCGAAGGUGUUU
rnacentral:rRNA from 1 species